rnacentral:rRNA from 1 species
UACAGAGACUGCAAGCGUUAUUCGGAUUCACUGGGCGUAAAGGGUGCGCAGGCGGCCAAGUGUGUGAGGCGUGAAAGCCCGGGGCUUAACCCCGGAAUUGCACCUCAAACUACGUGGCUAGAGCAUUGGAGAGGGUAGCGGAAUUCACGGUGUAGCAGUGAAAUGCGUAGAUAUCGUGAGGAACACCAGAGGCGAAGGCGGCUACCUGGACAAUUGCUGACGCUCAGGCACGAAAGCGUGGGGAGCAAAAGGG